GCGGCCGCGGGCGACUCCUGGUACCCCCGAGGCCCCGCGAACUCACCUUCACAAAGCUGUCGGCGUCCGGGAAGCCUGGCAGCACCAUCUCUCCGUCGGAUUUGGUUGCGCUGGUCGCCGACAGGACCCUGGGCUCCCGGGUAAGCUCCUGAAGAAAGCGUCUAGCUCCAACUGUGCUUCCUCCCUCCAGUACCCUCUGAACUCCUCCAAGCAGACGUUGUUUCCUGCAGACAUCGCUGGAACCAUUCUGGUUAACACAGAGUGGGAACUCAGUACACAUUUGUGAAGUGAACUCCUGGAAGAGCUCUUGUGAGGGAGGCACCGAAUUAUCAGGCAGCUCAAGAGAUAGAUUCACUCUCCUGAAAUUAGAGAUGGGAUGCCCUUAAUACAAUUCAUUCCACCCAUUAAGUCUUCAAUAAAUGUUCAGCAUAUCCAGUUAAGAGAAAAAAAAAAAAA
rnacentral:lncRNA from 1 species